UUAGCUCAUAUUUGUAUGGAGAGAGAUCGUUUGCCUACGUUUGCCGCUAGGGGCGCUGUUCCAACUGCAUACAAAAUUGGGUUA
rnacentral:pre_miRNA from 1 species